AUUCUUUCCACUCAUCCAUAUCGAUCGAGAGCGCAAAUUGCGUCGGUUGCAUAUUCCAGGCGAAAAGUGUCGCACGCUGAUGCGCGCAAUCGGCGAUCGACGAUUCCCCUGACAAGUCAAAGCCGAUCGUGAAAGGUGCUAUGUACGCGGGACGUUAAUUGCUGACAGCGUGUAUCCCCGAGUUUUAAUAAAGUGACGGUCGUUAAGAUCGCAACGGCCAGUUAACUUCUUGCCCUCGUCAACCGGUCUCGUUACGCCAAGUGGCUUAGUGAAUUCUGGAAUACCAUACGGUUGGAAACGAGAUCGGCUAAUCCACUCGCACACAGACACCGUUCAACCUACCUACUUUUUCUCCACGGAAUCUCAGCGGCUGUAUAGUUCCGCGGUGAAAUAUGUCAAUAGCCUAGGCGCUGCAACGUGAAACGCGAUUUCAACAUCGAAUCUGAACGAGCAAUAAACAGGUGCAGCUAAAGUUCUUCGAAAAAAAACUUGCCCGCUGUUAACCACGAACGAAUAAACAGCUAACCCAGAAAUUCUUGAAACGCAUUUUCUUUUCACGUGCAAUCGACUUCUAUCGUUCGACAUUUUGAAAGGCGAAUAAAAACGGGAGCAGUACGCACAAGAACGUGCCGCAAUGUGUUCGAGAGAUAGCUAAUUAUGUAAUUUUCAGAUAAAUCGGAUAAAUCUUGAAACGAAUCUCUAGAAUUGUGUGGACAGUUGUGUUCCUCAAAAGAUUAUCAUUGGAGAUAAUUUUAAGGAAAUUGAUAUAAUUUGUAAGUAACGUAAUUUCCAUGAUAAAUUGGAGUGAACGAUAAUUUUUUGUCGAAUAAAAUAUUAUAAUUGAAUAAUUAAUUCUA